rnacentral:rRNA from 1 species
CAGCCGCCACGGGAAAACGGAGGAUCCGAGCGUUAUCCGGAAUUAUUGGGUUUAAAGGGUGCGUAGGCGGAUAGAUAAGUCAGUGGUGAAAGACGGUGGCUCAACCAUCGCAGUGCCGUUGAUACUGUUUAUCUUGAAUAUGGAUGAGGUAGGCGGAAUGUGGCAAGUAGCGGUGAAAUGCAUAGAUAUGCCACAGAACACCGAUUGCGAAGGCAGCUUACCAAGGCAAAAUUGAUGCUGAGGCACGAAAGCGUGGGGAUCGAACAGGAUUAGAUACCCCUGUAGUCCCUGUCUCUUAUAA